rnacentral:lncRNA from 1 species
AACCCUAAACUCUAAUCACUAAAUUUUUACCCAAAUAUAAACUCUAAACCCAAAUAUAAUGGAACAAAAUAAAUAACAUAGUACAUAUUGGUGAAAUUAUGAAAUUUUUAUGAUCGCAUGGAAGAAGUUAAUGCUAACCCCAACCAUACCCUCACAAUCUAAAUACUAAAUCCUAAACUCUAAUCACUAAACCUUAACCCAAACAUGAACCCUAAAUCCAAAUAUUAAAAUGUAAAAAAUACAUAAUAUUAUGUAAUAUUAAACUAAAAAUAUAGAUCAUGGUACGAUUUUUACAAAUUCAAAAACAUGUAAUGAUAGUUAGAAUUUAAGAAAAUUACAAACUAUAUUUCUAAACAAAAUAGAGCACUUUUUAGUAACCGUCAAAUGUAAUGAAACAUGAUUAAAUAGUAUAUUAACGGAAUAUAUCACAUAAUAAAAUAUGAAAGUACAUAUUAUUUUACAUUUAUAUUCUAUAUUCAUAUAAUAGAAUAGAACACAAUAACAAAAACUGUUCAUCUUCU